GAUGAACGCUGGCGGCGUGCCUAAUACAUGCAAGUAGAACGCUGAAGGAAGGAGCUUGCUCUUUCCGGAUGAGUUGCGAACGGGUGAGUAACGCGUAGGUAACCUGCCUGGUAGCGGGGGAUAACUAUUGGAAACGAUAGCUAAUACCGCAUAACAGUAGAUGUUGCAUGAUAUCUACUUAAAAGGUGCAAUUGCACCACUACCAGAUGGACCUGCGUUGUAUUAGCUAGUUGGUGAGGUAACGGCUCACCAAGGCGACGAUACAUAGCCGACCUGAGAGGGUGAUCGGCCACACUGGGACUGAGCCACGGCCCAGACUCCUACGGGAGGCAGCAGUAGGGAAUCUUCGGCAAUGGACGGAAGUCUGACCGAGCAACGCCGCGGGAGUGAAGAAGGUUUUCGGAUCGUAAAGCUCGGUUGUAAGAGAAGAACGAGUGUGAGAGUGGAAAGUUCACACUGUGACGGUAUCUUACCAGAAAGGGACGGCUAACUACGUG
rnacentral:rRNA from 1 species